rnacentral:rRNA from 1 species
AUUCCAGACUCCUACGGGAGGCAGCAGUGGGGAAUAUUGCACAAUGGGGGAAACCCUGAUGCAGCGACGCCGCGUGAGUGAGGAAGUAUUUCGGUAUGUAAAGCUCUAUCAGCAGGGAAGAAAAUGACGGUACCUGACUAAGAAGCCCCGGCUAACUACGUGCCAGCAGCCGCGGUAAUACGUAGGGGGCAAGCGUUAUCCGGAUUUACUGGGUGUAAAGGGAGCGUAGACGGCUAGUCAAGUCAGAAGUGAAAGCCCGGGGCUCAACCUUGGAACUGCUUUUGAAACUGAGUAGCUAGAGUGCAGGAGAGGUAAGCGGAAUUCCUAGUGUAGCGGUGAAAUGCGUAGAUAUUAGGAGGAACACCAGUGGCGAAGGCGGCUUACUGGACUGUAACUGACGUUGAGGCUCGAAAGCGUGGGGAGCAAACAGGAUUAGAUACCCGCGUACA